rnacentral:rRNA from 1 species
CCUACGGGAGGCAGCAGUCGGGAAUAUUGCGCAAUGGAGGAAACUCUGAAGCAGUGACGCCGCGUGCAGGAAGACGGUUUUCGGAUUGUAAACUGCUUUAGACAGGGAAGAAACAAGACAGUACCUGUAAGAUAAGCGCCGGCUAACUACGUGCCAGCAGCCGCGGUACUACGUAGGGAGCAAGCGUUAUCCGGAUUUACUGGGUGGAAAGGGUGCGUAGACGGGAAGUCACGUUAGCUGUGAAAUCCCUGGGCUGAACUGGGGAACUGCAACCAAAACUAGCUGUGUUGAGUGCUGUAGAGGAAAGUGGAAUUCCGAGUGUAGCGGUGAAAUGCGUAGAUAUUAGGAGGAACACCAGUGGCGAAGGCGACUUUCUGGACAGUAACUGACGUUGAGGCACGAAAGUGUGGGGAGCAAACAGGAUUAGAUACCCUAGUAGUC